AGCAGCCGCGGUAAUUCCAGCUCCAAUAGCGUAUAUUAAAGUUGUUGCAGUUAAAAAGCUCGUAGUUGAACCUUGGGCCUGGCUGGCCGGUCCGCCUCACCGCGAGUACUGGUCCGGCUGGGCCUUUCCUUCUGGGGAACCUCAUGGCCUUCACUGGCUGUGGGGGGAACCAGGACUUUUACUGUGAAAAAAUUAGAGUGUUCAAAGCAGGCCUUUGCUCGAAUACAUUAGCAUGGAAUAAUAGAAUAGGACGUGCGGUUCUAUUUUGUUGGUUUCUAGGACCGCCGUAAUGAUUAAUAGGGAUAGUUGGGGGCAUUAGUAUUCAACUGUCAGAGGUGAAAUUCUUGGAUUUAUUGAAGACUAACUACUGCGAAAGCAUUUGCCAAGGAUGUUUUCAUUAAUCAAGAACGAAAGUUAGGGGAUCGAAGACGAUCAGAUACCGUCGUAGUCUUAACCAUAAACUAUGCCGACUAGGGAUCGGAUGAUGUUAAUUUUUUAAUGACUCA
rnacentral:rRNA from 1 species